rnacentral:tRNA from 1 species
GCCGACAUGGUGGAAUUGGCAGACACGCUACCUUGAGGGGGUAGUGGGCUACGCCCGUGGGGGUUCGACUCCCCCUGUCGGCA